rnacentral:rRNA from 1 species
AGUACUGUGAAGGAAAGGUGAAAAGCACCCCGGGAGGGGAGUGAAAGAGAACCUGAAACCCUGUGCUUACAAGCACUUAGAGCACGUCAAAGUGUGAUAAGGUACCUAUUGUAGAAUGGUCCGGCGAGUUAUUGUAUGCAGCGAGGUUAAGUAGUUCAGCUACGGAGCCGAAGUGAGAGCGAGUGUUAACAGCACGUUCAGUUGCAUGCAAUAGACCCGAAACCGGGUGACCUAUCCAUGUCCAGGAUGAAGUGAGGGUAAAACCUCAUGGAGGUCCGAACCCACUCCCGUUGAAAUGGUAGGGGAUGAGGUGUGGAUAGCGGAGAAAUUCCAAUCGAACCCGGAUAUAGCUGGUUCUCCCCGAAAUAGUUUUAGGACUAGCCUCGUGAUUAAGAUUAUCGGAGGUAAAGCACUGAAUGGCCUAGGGGUCGAGAGAUUACCGAAGCCUAUCAAACUCUGAAUGCCGAAUAAUCAUGCACGGGAGUCAGACUGUGUGAGAUAAGUUUCAUAGUCGAAAGGGAAACAGCCCAGACCUACAGCUAAGGUCCCAAAGUACGUUUAAGUGGAAAACGAUGUGAAAUUGCGUAGACAACCAGGAUGUUGGCUUAGAAGCAGCCAUACAUUAAAAGAGUGCGUAAUAGCUCACUGGUCGAGUGACUUUGCGCGGAAAAUUUAACGGGGCUAAAACGUACACCGAAGCUUAGGCUUGUCACAAUGUGACAGGGGUAGGGGAGCGUUGAAUGAGGGGUGAAGUCGUAGCGAAAGCGACGGUGGACUUCAUUCAAGUGAGAAUGCCGGAAUGAGUAGCGAGAAUUAUGUGAGAAUCAUAAUGGCCGAAAGCCUAAGGUUUUUGGAGGAAGGUUCGUCCGCUCCAAGUAAGUCGGAAGCUAAGGUGAGGCUGAAAAGCGUAGCCGAUGCACAAACGGUUGAAAUUCCGUUACCACAGAAAGAUUUAAACUAAGGGACACUUUUGAAGAGCUGGUGCCGGGUGUUGGUUACCCCGGUCGUAAGGGAACGAAAUUAAGUAGUGAAGUCAGCGUGGAUGAAGGCGAGAAAAGCUUAGUGUAUAUCUUAUGUGUCCGUACCGCAAACCGACACAGGUAGGUAGGAAGAGAAUUCUAAGGCCAACGGGAGAAGGGUAGUUAAGGAACUCGGCAAAAUGUCCCCGUAACUUCGGAAUAAGGGGAGGUUUCUACGGAAACCCGCAGAGAAUAGUCCCAGGCAACUGUUUAUCAAAAACACAGCUCUAUGCUAAAUCGAAAGAUGACGUAUAUGGGGUGACGCCUGCCCGGUGCCGGAAGGUUAAGAGGAGGAGUGAGAGCCCUGAAUCGAAGCCCCGGUAAACGGCGGCCGUAACUAUAACGGUCCUAAGGUAGCGAAAUUCCUUGUCAGGUAAGUUCUGACCCGCACGAAUGGCGUAAUGAUCUGGGCACUGUCUCAACAGCCCGCCCGGCGAAAUUGUAGUACCGGUGAAGAUGCCGGUUACCCGCGACAAGACGGAAAGACCCCAUGGAGCUUUACUGUAGCCUAAUAUUGGGUUUCGAUGUUGCAUGCACAGGAUAGAUGGGACACAGGGAAACAAGUGCUUUGGCAUUUGUGGAGUGGCCGUUGGGAUACCAUCCUUGCGAUAUUGGAAUUCUAACCUGCGCCUUUGAAUCAAGGCGGGGGACAUUGUUAGGUGGGCAGUUUGACUGGGGCGGUCGCCUCCUAAAGAGUAACGGAGGCGUUCAAAGGUUCGCUCAGCUUGAACGGAAAUCAAGCAAAAGAGUGCAAACGCAGAAGCGAGCCUAACUGCGAGACUGACGGGUCGAGCAGUAACGAAAGUUGGAGUUAGUGAUCCGGUGGUAUGUGAGUGGAAAUGCCAUCGCUCAACGGAUAAAAGCUACCCUGGGGAUAACAGGCUGAUCUCCCCCAAGAGUCCACAUCGACGGGGAGGUUUGGCACCUCGAUGUCGGCUCA